rnacentral:lncRNA from 1 species
AUCCCAAGCUAAUCCAUGAACUGGCACUGUUAAGCAACUGAAUUAUAACAUAAUUAAUAGAUGUUCUGCUGUGCAGAAAUAUAAUCAUACUUAAAAUCUAAACUAGAUACAAUACUGAUAAAGCUUUACAAUAUGAUAAAUCCGAAGGAUGAAACUGAAAUUACAUGAGUGACUCUGACUGACAUCUAUGAAGCCUUUACUAUACUAACUGUAGAUAGCUGGGACAUGCCUCCAACUACCACUAAUCAAUACACAUGAAAUUAAAUGAACUGUACAUGAACUAAAACUGUCUGGAGUUCCCGAAUUAAGAGAACUCAUCACCUGCUGGCUGAAAUCUGCAACUGUCUGAUCGUGAUAUGCGGGCUACAACUGGUACCUACAUUAUGAAAUAAUGUAUCUACACAGACAUAUAUGUGGAUCAAUACUUCUGGAAUGUACCGUGUAUACAAGGGUGAAUGCAAUAAGUAAAAAUGAUUUCAUACGUAAUCGUAAAACAUGUAUGCUGAUUAUAAGUAGACUCACCAAUAGGCUGGAAUAAACUGAAAACUGAAAUACCUUAAAGCAUGAGUUACAAACAUUCUCUGAUAAGAUGGUGAAUCUCUACACUUAGUUUCUGUAAAACUUUACUUUAUUGAUAUAAGUAUAACUGAAGUUGGGAUAUGAUAAAACAUAGAUACUAUAUGAAUACUGGGUCUGAAACUACGUGAUGGAGAUUGAUAUAGAUUGAGGAUCUGAAUAUACAAUCACACUGAGCACAAAUGCAUAAACAUAUUAACUUAUCUGAUUAACUGAAUGACUGAUAGCUGAAUAUUGGGCAUGUAAGACUGAACUGUACUUAGUCUGAAUAACUGGACUGAAACUGUAGAGUAUUAUGCAUAUGAGGAAAGGACUGACCGAGUAACAUGAGAUAACUGAACAUGAAUUUGUGACAACAGUUUUACCUGAGAAUGCAAGACCAAGCGUAUAACAUGAUUCUGAAAUAGUCUGUAAACUGAGGUACUGAAAUAUUGAUAACAGUACACUAUAGUCAAGCAAACCUGAAACUGAACAGAGUUACUGAUCUGAUUACUAGACUAAGACUGUGACUGAGAUUAUAACUAAGACGGUAACUGAGACUAUAACUGAGAUUGUAACUAAGACUGUAACUGAGACUAUAAAUGAGACUGUAAAUAAGACUAUAACUGAAACUAUAACUGGAAUUAAAUAUUGUGUUUUGUUAACUGAGUAACUGAUAACUGGGUAACUGUUUCUGAUAGUCCUGAUUUUGUAGAACUAAACUGAGUUCUAUACUGAGCUGGGUGACUAUUUCUGACAGUCCUAAUUUGUGGAAUAUAACUAAGUUCCAUCCCGAGUUUGAAGCUGAAAUGUAACUGUGUGAGUGUUCAUCUAAGCGAUAUGCCCCAAAUAAGAUAACUGGGGUCAAACCUGUAACCCCAAUUGGAAGGGUGUCAGUACCGUGCCACAGGUAAAAAGAAGUUGGUGAGUCAUCCUCAUCUGGCAAGUGCUCUGAAUGAGAUUGGUAGUACUUUCAACUAGCAGAUAAGAUACCUCAUCAACCCUUAACUGGCAGGUUGAUGUCUCAACCUAUGCUGACUACGUAAUUCUAGAAUACAAGGACUGCUUCUAAGGAUUUCGCCCUCUGCUGGCAAGUGAGUCCCCAUCCUUGGGUUCACUCUGUAUUGAAUCCUACUCCCAACUAAAUAGACAUUGAACUGAUUUCUAAACUGUACUAGGCUGGACUGAGUUGUUACUGAUCCUGCUAACUGACUGAACUGGACUGAGUUCACUGAGUUUUGUUAACUGACUGAAUACAGUAAGUUCUGUAACUAACUGAGUACUACUGUACAUGACAUCACUGAGACUAUUCUGUAACUACUGUAGCUCUAGGUAAACAACUAGAUUUUCGAGUAUUGAAUACCCCCAAGACUUAGUAACAAUAACACCUGUCACGCCCCAUUUUCCUCGUGAAAAACAAGAUUCGACGUGACCACUAUUUUUGGGAUUGUUUAAGAAAAGAGAGUGUAAAGAGUCGCCACCUAACGAAUUAAUGUGCGUUAGGGCACCGAUCUAGGCUAACUACGAACCUAUUUUGUUGUUUUGUCUUAGUUCACCAGAAAUUCGAAUAAGUGUUCAAAUUACCUCAAAAGGAAGGUGUUAGGCACCUUUUGAGGUCUACAAAGGUGGUUCCCAUCCAAAUUCAUAUUUUACGUGGGGAUUCUAUGAGAUCAAAUAAAGGUCUCUUAUUUUAACAUUAAUUGUUAACUAAAUGAUAAAACAAUUAAUGAACAAAACAUGUUAUUUUAUUAUUUCUAAUUGUUAAUUGGCUAACUAAUAAAAACAGUAAACACAUUUCAUAAGACAAGCGAGGAGAAAGAAAUGACAUAAUUUAUAACAAAAAGGGACUGUUUAUAUAAUAAACUAACUACCUCAAAUAAAUAAACAUGCAAAGUAAAUAAAAGAAUAAAAAGAAUUCGUCAAAUCAAACAAAGAAAGAUUUUUGGUCUAAUUCAAAUCAAAAACCCAAUUUGCUUAAUCAUCAUCCAACCCACUGGCAAACUCUUAGACAAGUGACAAUGUCACUAGUCUUACCGUCAAUAUCUAUUGGGAUCAUUAUGUUCGAACAACUACCAACCCUACCCCACCUAGGCUGGUUGUUAAGUUUAAAGACGUUCUAUGACAAGGAUAAAACUACCACCUUAAGUAAUAUUUAUCGUCCCACCUAUCGUCCAAAAGGCAUUGGACUUUGCUAUUUUGAUUUGAUGGUCUAGACUAAAUAAAGCUAUGUUGCCUAGGACUCGAAGCACAUAACAAAUAGGACAUCACGUAGCACAUAUUAUCCCAAGUUAGCCUCUUGAUUAAUUAAUGUUUGUUAAUGUGAUUAACACACAAAGACAAAUAAUUCUUUAUUUUGUGUCAUUGACCUAUAGGCAUGCUAUCUAAGUAUUCAACAAUUGAUGACAAAAGACAACUGUGAUUCGUGUGUGUAACAAUGUGUAGUUAAAUUGUGAAAAGAGGGUCUCAAAAGUGUGAUAAAUAUGUUAGGGAAUUGUGCUCACAAAUUAAAAGUUAAAAACUAAUGAGAACAUAAGAAAUAAACACAAUAUUGGAAAUGCAUUAACGUGCUAAAGAACACAAUGGCGUACCUAAUCUAGUGUUAACAUGUUGAAAAUGCUCAAGAUUCGAUAUUUUAACAUGUGGGCAAUAAUGCUAACAGUGCAGACAUUUCAUAUUAAUAUGUUGGGAAGUGCUAAAAAUGCCUAAAAUCUAAAAUGCUGAAAUUAAUGAUUUUACGCAGAAAUGCAGUACAGACAUGCUGAAAUUUAAUUAUUUUAUGCAGAAACUAUUUUAGCAUGCUGGAAUUUAAUACUCCCAUCGUCACAUUUUAUGUGUCGCCAAAAUGGGACAUGCACGAAAUUUAAGAAAUAGGUAAAGACAUGAUUCUUUUUACCAAAGUGUCCUUUAAAACAAUGCACUAUUAUUAUUUUUAAUUAAUUGGACCUUAUAAGUGGUAAGAAUAAGGGUAAGUGUAAUUGUAUUUUUAAAUAGUUACCAAACAAAAAAAAAAGACAUUCUAAUUGGGAUGGAGGGAGUAUUAACAUACAGAAAAAUGCAUUAACACUAUAGUUUUUGACAUGCUGAAAAAUAUGUUAAUGCACAUAAAUUUAUAUGUUAACCAUGCUACAAUUUAAACAUGGACGUAUUUAAUUCUAAUGAUCAACAUGCUUAUGCAGGAAUUUAAUUGUUGACAUGCUCAAAAAUACAAACAUGCUGAAAAUAGUAUUAAUAUGCUGAAAUUUAGCUUAAACCUAAUGUUUAACCAUAUUAACAUUCCAAGAUUCAUUUUAAUACGUAGAAAUUUAAUACUAACAUGAUCUAACAAUGCUGAAAUACGUGUGAAUGUGCAAAGACAAGCUCUAAUAAUGCUGAACUUGUUUUAAUGCGCGAAAACAUGUAAUAAUGCUGAAACUUGUUUUAAUGUGCAGAAACAUGCUAUAAUAAUGUUGAAAUUAUUUUAAUGUGCAGAAAAAUUGUUUCAAUAUGUAGAAACUUAUUAACACGUCAAAAUCUAUUUUAGUAUACCAUACAACGCUUAAAUCCUAAAAGCAUGAUUUCUAAUCGUCUUAAUAAGUAGAUUAAUUGUCUAAGCAGUUCAUAUGUUGAUAAAUCUUAGGUUUGUGUGCCUAAAUGAUCCAUGAUCCAUGUAGCAUGUAACACGCGUAAAACCUAAAUUGUGCCUAUCUACACUAUUCAUAGAGCACAUAAGUCCCCGCCCCUCGAAGCAGUCCCCAAUAUUUAUUAUUACAUCAAUAGUAAUAUUGUACAAUAAUAUUACAAACCAAAUAAUAAGAAAAAAAAAACUAAAUAAAACUAAUACAAUCUAUUGUAAACACCCGGCGACUCUUGCGAUCUCCAAAACACUCCAAAACACCACUUAACAAUAUCUGCUAGAUACAAAUUGAAAGAGCACGACAAGCACAAAAGAAACAACACAUGAUCCUAAACCACACAUCGUUUCAAACAGAGGAACCACGAAAACACAUGCAUAUUAAGCAAGCAUUGUUUCAAAUUAGUUCCUAUAGACAUACUUUCUAUGAUUUAAACCAAAAGAAGGAAAGUAAUUGCAUCGAGUGGGAACAUACAGGUGAUGAUAAACAAUAAUAAUAAGAAAGAAGAAGACCAAAUAGACCGAAAUCUAGAAAGUGAAUUGCCACCGAGAGGACAAAGUUAAAGCUCCGAAAGUAAGUACAGAAGCGGUAAAAUAAGACUGUUUCUUUUCUUUUUUCUUUUUUAAAGCUUUAGUAGAAGAGAGUAUAUGUAGUUUGUUGUAACUUGUGAGUUCAAAGUUCUUGUUUAUCACAGAGAAUAGAUACACUAGAGAGUAAGGAGAGUGUAGAUAUUAUAGAGUGUAAGUUGUGUGUUGUAACUUGUUUCAGUAAUAGAAGGAGGCGUCUUUAUAUAGUAAAGGGGUUUAGAGGAUAGAAGGAAGAAAAUGAAAGGAUAUCAAAGAAAAAUAGGUCACUCUAAACAACCAAUCAGAAUAAAUUAAGAGGAGGAAAAUAAGCUGAUGAAUCAAUUAAUAGAAAGCUUUAAAUAGGUGAAUCAAGCAUCCAUAAAUCAGUCCAAUAAUAAAGGAAAGCAAAUGUUUUAAAAAAUCAAUCAACAAUAUUAUUUUCCUUAACUAAAUAAGUAGAGCAAGUUUAGCAUAGAUAGGUGCAAAAAAAUAAAUAACUAAAAGAUGAAAAUAUGCGACAGUUUUUACCAAAAUCAAUAGAUCAAUCAACGAAAGAAAAGCAAUUAACCCAAAAAUAUUCCCUAAUCACAACGGUUUGGUCAAUCCCAUAAUAUCAGUCCAAGAAGGAAAAUCAAGUAGGUGCAAACAGAAGAUCUAUCCAUAUUUAAGUAGGUAAAAUUAAUUAGGUGGAAGACCAAUAAAAGGCACAACAAAUCAACCCACGAAACAGGAACCAUAAGUGGCCAAUUUAUUCAAAUUUAUAUUGGAAAAAAAUAACUAAUACGUAUAUCCUCAAUUAACCCCGAGUCAGAGAUAACUAAUACGUAUAAGUGGCCAAUUUAUUCAAAUUUAUAUUGGAAAAAAAUAACUAAUACGUAUAUCCUCAAUUAACCCCGAGUCAGACAUGUUUAAGUAAAGAAAAUGACACAAUUUGCAAAAUUAUUUUAAUUUCCACAAGAAAACUGAAUUAAGUAAUAGGGUAAACAAUUAAACAGCUAGUCAAAAGAAUAUCGAAUCAGUGAAACUUCCUUCCAUAUAUCAUGAUAAUCACUUAUAGCCAAAAAGCUCCAUUAACGGUGUAAAAUUCAACCAAUUAGCAGAGAAUAAGGGAGAGAAAAGAAAUAUAAGGCUAAGUCAUUAAGGCAGUAUCAGUCGAACAACAACUACACGUAAUCAAUCAUCUCUUCAACGGUAACAACAAUCCAAACUAACAUGUCCAAAAUUGUGCCAAGUCGGUCUAAUAGUAGUUCAUAAAUUUUAGGGCUUUUAUCAUAUGAUAGUAUUAUCACAUAAACAAACUCAAAUAGCAGAGAAUCAGACAAAGAGAUCAAUCACACUUUGUUAAUUCUGAAUCCAAAAUCUGUCAAAGAAAAGGGAAGAAGAGGUAGUAUAAAAUAAAACACAGAUAUCUAAAUAUUUGGGUUAAACCUGUGGAUGGGUUUCUGAGACCCAUCAUUCUCUGAAACGGGCAGUGGCGGCGACUGACAGCGUUGGUGGAUGAGCAGAUCUGGGUGAUGGGGAGAAGAGAUCGAAGGAGAUGGAGGCGGUGGACUGAGUCGCGGGGCGACGGCAUCGUCGCCGUGGCUGGACCGAUCUUGCCGACUGCAUGGCGUUUUGCGCAGUGGGGACCGACGGCGCUGAAGGGGAGAGGACGGCAGCCAUGGCUAUUUGCUGGAGGGAUUCGACGGCUUGGGAAGGCUGGCCGUCGUUGUUUUUGCCACUGAUGGUGCCGGUGGUCUGGCGGAUCUGGCUGGUCGGCCGCAUGGCGGAGGUAGAGAUGGGUUAGCCUGAGAGAGACGGUGACAUGGAUGGAAUUCCCCAGUUUGGGCUGGCCGGAGAUGGUGGCGACUGCCAUGGUUAUUGAGGGAGAGAGAGAUAAGAGAGAAAAUAGAUAGAGCAGGGGUGAGUUUGUGCGGCUGAAAAAAUGAAAAUGGGGGUAGAGUUUGCUGUUAAGGGUUAAAAAGGAAAGUGGGGGAGAAAUUUGAUCUCAGUCGUAGAUCACUUUUUGAUCAACGGUCGAUAUUCAAAGUAUAGAAUACUUAAAAUUGGACAACAAUUGAAUUGAAGAAUUGAAAUUAAAUUCAAUUGGGUACAAAUUAGGCUAGCAUUGUAAUUCAGUUGACUGAAUUAGGGGCUAAAAUUGUCAUGACUGAGAUAAAAAUGGGCUAAAAGAUAAAUAAAUUAGGUAAAGUCAUUUUAAUUUAGGUUGUUACUUAAAUAAUAAUGGAGAUAAUAAUAAAUAAUAAAUAGUAAAUAAUAAUAAUAAUAAAUAAUAUUUAUAAUAACAAUAAUAAUAAAUAAUAAUAAAUAAAUAAUACUAAAUAAUGGAAAACUGGGCAAGAAUUUGCAAAAAUGUAAGUAUGCACAGUUGCGAAUAAUUUAAUAAAAUUAUGUAAAUGUCGCAUUUGAGUUUUAAAAUUAUAAAAAUUAUACUAAAAGAAAAAUAUAAUAAUUUGUGCAUUUUCUAAAUUAUGGAUGUGACACGUCAAUAAUCUGUUUGAUUGAAGAAAAAUGUGUAAAAAAUACUAACAUUUAAAAUUAAUAAUUUUGCUAAAAUAACAGCCUCAAAGGAGCAUCGGGUGAUCAAAAUUGGGUGUCAACAGCUGCCCCUUCAUUGUUUGAGAAUGAUGAACGAAUUGUCAAACAACGAAAGUUGACGCAAUAGCCAAUUUAUCUGACCGAGAAAGAUUUGUUGGAAUUAAAGCAACAAAAGGUGGUUAAAAAUAGUGUGGCCGAAACUUCGAUUUCAAGUCGCCUACAUAUCUCUAGUUUUACGAGAAUCAGGCUAUUUGUAGUUCUAGAUUUAGGAAUGAACAAUAUUCUUAAAGAAUGUCAUUAAUAAAAGAUGGGACAUUAAAAAAUGAUAUUGUGGGUCAACAAGCUGGGAUGAAUAUGAUUUGAAAUAAUGACGUAAGGGGGGACGUGAAAAUAAAAGGUGUGUGAGUUUCAGGAUAAGUACACGCGAUAGAUGAAUAGAUGGGGUGAUAUUUUGAAAACAGGAACGAAAAUUAUCUUUGUUUGUUAUUCUUCCCCUGUUACCUGCGUCUUUACAUCAUACUAAAUAACAAAAGUAAGACAUGUAAGAAAUAAACAACUGAUAAACAUAAAGUGAAUAUGGAAAUAAAGAAAGCAUAUCUGUUGUACUGUUGAAUCAGUUGUUUGACUUCUUGAUGUGAUGUUGGAUCGGAUAUUGAACCUCUCAAUGUAACGUUGGAUCAACUGUUUGGUUUCUCGAUAUGACAUUGGAUCAGCUGUUGGACCUCUCUAUGUAUCAUUGUAUCAGUUGUUCGGCUUUUCGAUAUAACGAUGGAUCGACUGUUGGACCUCUCGAUGUAUAUGACGUUGGAUCGGUUGUUGGACCUCUCGAUGUAUCGUUGGAUCAACUGUUUGGCUUCUUGAUAUGAUAUUGGAUCGGCCGUUGGACCUCUUGAUGUAUCGUUGGAUCUGUUGUUAUACCUCUCGAUGUAUCAUUAGAUCAACUGUCCGGCUUCUCGAUAUGAUGUUGGAUCGAUUGUUGGACCUCUCGACGUAUGGUUGGAUCAACUGUUUGGCUUCUCAUGAUGGAUUAAUUUGUGCUUAUUGGUCCUGCCACUUUAACUCAACUAGAUAAAAAUGGUUAGCACAGAUAUAUAUGUAUGUAUAGAAGAUUGAACAAUGUAGUGAAAACAACCAUAACAAUAAUGAUAAGAAGAGAUAAGAAAACAUAUUUGUUGUACCGUUGGAUCAACCAUUGGGUCUUCUCGUUAUGAUGUUGGACUAGCCUUUGGGUCUCUCGUGAUAGAGUGAUUGUUGUCAUUUGUACCUGUUAAUCCAGUACUCAAAGAAAAAGCCGUCAGCUAAAAAGAAAUAUAGAUUUGUACUAUGCUCGAGUCCUCGGUCAUUGUUUUCUACUCCAUGAACUGUUGAAAGUUGUACUCCGUCGUGAUGAAAUUUUUGAAAAUCUCAAAAAUUUCUGCCCCAGUUUAAAAUGUAAAGCGCCUUCCGCACGUCAUUGUGAAUAGAUUAUUUACUCAUGAAAUUUUUAAGGAAUUCUAAAAAUUUUUUGCCCCAAUUUAAAAUGAAAGACGCCUUUUACAUGUCACUAUGAAUUGAUAUAUUGUUUAAUUGUGAAAUUUUUGAUGUUUACUUGAAACGUCAAAAAUUCUGCCCCAGUUUUUGUCUUUGGAAAGAAAAUUGCCGAGAAGAAGUGUGGGUAAGGCGAGGAUAAGGAGUCAUAGUGUUUUGCCUUGGGCAAUGAGAAGAGGGACUGAAAAAUUUUCAGAUAUUGAGCAUAUUUGUCAUAUUGUAAAUUGUCACUUGAUCGUAAACAGCCUUUCUACUUCUUUAGAGGUAGAGGUAUGGACUGCGUACAUCUUACCCUCCCUAGACCUCACUAUGUGGGAAUACAUUGGGUUUGUUGUUGUUGUUGCUGUUUGUUGUAGAUUGUCACUUGAGUUCGAUGUUCAAAUGCUAGACAACCUUAAAAAUAAAAUAAGUCAACAAAAAUUACAUAAUGCAUAAGUUCAACACAUACAAAAUCAAAGUCAGUCUGAGAGGAAAACUAAGCCUUAAUAAGCGUUCCAGGCGUGAAAAUUUAAGCUCCUAACGUACGAAACAGGACAGUGAUAGAACGCGAUGUCAAAUUUGCAAUUGUGAUUGUAAAGAAUGUAAGAGAGAUACAAAAUGAACAAGGUCAAAUUUUGUUGAACAUCAGAUUUGUUUAUUCACAUCAUAUUAUUAAUUCAUCCAACUCCAUACAUAAAAAUGAUAAAGCAAGGGAAAAGAAAUUUCUAUUAUGGUGAGACCAACUCAUUAAAUGAGAGCCUAUAUAAAUCAGGUCAAUCGUAGUUCAAAUUACAUAAGCAAGGAAGACAUAAAAGGAAACUGUCAGUCGUAAAACUUAAAGGAAUUUCAAAUGUUGGAGAGUCUGGAACAGAGAAUCGACAUGAUAACCUCUAUACCACUGUCAAACCUUUGCAAGUCAAGCCUAGUAGAUCAAUCAUCAUCACGAUUCUACUUUAUCACACUUAUAACUUUGUCGUCAAUCAGUGUUUGAAUUUUGUCUUUCAAAGUUCGACACUCUUCUGCGGUGUGUCCUGAAUGAUAAACACAAGUCUUAGAAUGAUAAAGCCAUGGUGCACAUGUGUUCACGAUAAUUACGGGAAUAGGAGUGAUAUAGCCAGCCAUCCUCAAUCUAUCAUAAUGUUGAGUUAUAGGCUCAACAAAGAGUGUGUGCUGUCGUAGGGGAUUUUCUAAAGCUUAUGUUGAGAUUUGAUGGAUUUGUUGAUUUGUUGUCGGAUUUUGGUAAAAAGUUGGAAUGUAGUUUGAUGUAGGAGUAACGAAUGAAUGUGGGUACCAAACAGUUUGAGGAGGUCUUGUGAAGGAUUGUGUAUAAUAGGCUUGAACGUAAUUAGAAAUUGAAAUGAUUUCUGGAGUUGGGUACCAUAUUAGUUGAGGUUGGGGUAUGUUUACUUCCAGCUUUGGAGGUUUGGAUGUCUCGUCAAUGAUUGUCUUCCUAUUAUUCUUGGAUUGUGGCUUAACCAAAUUUGCCUUAACUGUGAGCUUCCAUUUUAGCUUAUUGUCAAACCGCCUAACAAAGUCAAUUGCCAAAUGAUCCCAAGAAAGACUUUAGUCUUCAAGCUAUCACUUUGUCCUAUAACUGAUAGCUUGUCAAGGUACUCCUUCGCUGUCAAAGUACUCCUUCAAAUGGGAAUGAGGUUUCCUAACCUAUCAUAUAAUGGAAAGUUUAUCUCCUCGAUUGCCUCCCUGUCUUCAUCCCUUGAUUUGGAUGGCCUACUCAUAUUGGGUCGUUGAGAUGGUCCUGCCUCAUGGUCAAGAACCAGCCUUUCCAUCUCCUUGUCCUCACUUGUAUUCAUCAACUCAAUAAGUGCUUUUAGCAGUACAAUUGAAAACUGACAAUCAGACGUAGGUGAAAUUGUCAGUAUAGGGGACUCCGUUGUGUAGAUGGGAGGGUUGGAGUCUGCUUCAGGUAGCGACCCUGGAAAACCUGAUGUCACCUCAACAGAGCCUCCAAUAUCAGUCGAUAUUCCCCUAAUUAGCUCUAAUAAUGCUGAAAUUAUUUUAAUGUGCAGAAACAUGCUACAAUAAUGCUGAAUUGUUUUAAUAUGCAGAAACAUAUUAACACGUCAACAUCUAUUUUACUAUGCCAUACAACGUUUAAAUCCUAAAAGCAUGAUCUCUAAUCGAAUUAAUAAGUACAUUAAUUGUCUAAGCGGUUCAUAUGUUAAUAAAUCCUAGGUAUUUGUGCCAAAAUAAUCCAUGUAGCACGUAACACACGUAAAACCUAAAUUGUGCCUAUCUAUACUAUUCAUAGAGCACGUAAGUCCCCGCCCCUCGAAGCAGUCCCCAAUAUUUAUUAUUACAUCAAUAGUAAUAUUGUACAAUAAUAUUACAAAUCAAAUAAUAAGAAAAAAAAAACUAAAUAAAACUAAUACAAUCUAUUGUAAACACCCGGCGACUCUUG